AUUGAACGCUGGCGGCAGGCCUAACACAUGCAAGUCGAGCGAUUGGCGGCGGGUUAAUUAUAGUCUGGUAACCUGCCCGCUGGAGUGGGAUAACUAUUGGAAACGGUAUCUAAUACCGCAUACGAUCAGAUGUGCCCGCAUGGGAUUAGCUAGUAGGUGGGGUAACGGCUCACCUACGCGACGAUCCCUGGCUGGUCUGAGAGGAUGACCAGCCACACGGGAACUGAGACACGGUCCAGACGCCUACGGGAGGCAGCAGUGGGGAAUAGUGCACAAUGGGCGCAAGCCUGAUGCAGCCAUGCCGCGUGUGUGAAGAAGGCCUUCGGGUUGUAAAGCACGUUCAGCGGGGAGGCGUUACCCGCAGAAGAAGCACCGGCUAACUCCGUGCCAGCCGCCGCGGUAAUUC
rnacentral:rRNA from 1 species